GUGAUCGCUUUGGCAGCAUAUAUACUAAAAUAGGAACGAUACAGAGAUUAGCAUGGCCACUGUGCAAGGGUAACAUGCAAAUUUGUGAAGUACUCCGUAAAAGU
rnacentral:snRNA from 1 species